UGGGGAAUUUUGGACAAUGGGGGAAACCCUGAUCCAGCCAUCCCGCGUGUGCGAUGAAGGCCUUCGGGUUGUAAAGCACUUUUGGCAGGAAAGAAACGUCAUGGGUUAAUACCCCGUGAAACUGACGGUACCUGCAGAAUAAGCACCGGCUAACUACGUGCCAGCAGCCGCGGUAAUACGUAGGGUGCAAGCGUUAAUCGGAAUUACUGGGCGUAAAGCGUGCGCAGGCGGUUCGGAAAGAAAGAUGUGAAAUCCCAGAGCUCAACUUUGGAACUGCAUUUUUAACUACCGGACUAGAGUGUAGCAGAGGGAGGUGGAAUUCCGCGUGUAGCAGUGAAAUGCGUAGAUAUGCGGAAGAACACCGGUGGCGAAGGCAGCCUCCUGGGAUAACACUGACGCUCAUGCACGAAAGCGUGGGGAGCAAACAGG
rnacentral:rRNA from 1 species